CUGUAUUGGGCUCUUCUGUUAGCAGAUUUUUCCUAAAAUGUAUCUCUUUAAAAAAAAUCCCUACUCCCCACGUGGUGAUUAUUGGAAAAGUUGGGAGGGGGAGGAAAAUAUUUUAGUCUAAGUGUAAGGGGUGUUGUGCUGCGAGAACACAGAAUGGUACAGGGCAUUCUCCUAAAGCGAUCCUCGCUCUCAGACUGCAGUGAUUUCCAGCAGGGCUGGAUGGGAAGGGAACGGUGGGCUCUGUAGUAACCAGCAUGUCUGGUCUCAACACGUCAGGCAAGAGGCUCGGGAUGUAGAGGAAUCACGUCUGAAAGGCAGACUGAGGUGCUCUCGGUAACUUCAGACUUCGGAGCCGUCCCCCCCCCUCGGAAACCACGGUCAGCAUCGUGCUCUGUGGAAAAGCCUGCAGUGGUUUAUCACCGGUGGUGGUUCUGCCCUAGACUCUCCGUCUACACAGUGAGCUGACGGUGACGGCGCUGGAGGGCAGGGGCGGAUGGAGUGGGGAUGUAUAGGGAGAGGCGAUCAACACGUGCCAUGGGCUCUCCACAGCAGAAAUAGCCCUGCAUGUGUGGAGAAAUAGACUGCGGAACAGCGUUUUGCUUCAUGGCCACCAACUCUUCUGCAAAAAGAGAAGCUCACGCGGAGGUGGAGGCCAAGGUGUGUGCGGCAGCCGUCUGGACAUCUGUGCGAUCGACGCCGACGUUGGAAGAGUCAUAGAGCGUGACUGACGACAUCCGGAAGGGGGGAAAAAUGUAGUUAUUGAACCCAAUCAACUGUUUGUGUCUCUGAAAUUAUCAACAACAUCCAGUCGAGGAAGGUUCUGGUCGGUCCCACAGACGUAUGGCUGUCCAAGGAGCCACAUAAAGGUACGAUUCUCUGCCAUACUUUUGGCUUUACAAGCAGACAAAUGUUUUAUGUAUCCACUUUGAAAUAUCUCCCUUUGAAAACCAUAAAGAUAGGCCUGUAAAUACAGGGUGUUUUUAAUGUUCUUUAAUUUUAAUAAACAAGCUCAAUAUAAAGUCAGAAUUUAUAGUCCAUUGCUAAAGAUAGACUCAAAUAGUCUUCUGUUAUUCAACUGCAUCAUCCCC
rnacentral:lncRNA from 1 species